rnacentral:rRNA from 1 species
UACGAAGGGGGCUAGCGUUGUUCGGAAUUACUGGGCGUAAAGCGCACGUAGGCGGGCGAUUAAGUCAGGGGUGAAAUCCCGGAGCUCAACUCCGGAACUGCCUUUGAUACUGGUCGUCUAGAGAUCGGAAGAGGUGAGUGGAAUUCCCAGUGUAGAGGUGAAAUUCGUAGAUAUUGGGAAGAACACCGGUGGCGAAGGCGGCUCACUGGUCCGAUACUGACGCUGAGGAGCGAAAGCGUGGGGAGCGAACAGG